GACGAACCGUGCGAACGUUGUUCGGAAUCACUGGGCUUAAAGGGCGCGUAGGCGGGCUGCCAAGUCCGUGGUGAAAUCCCUCGGCUCAACCGGGGAACGGCCUCGGAUACUGGCGGCCUCGAGGGGGGUAGGGGCGUGCGGAACUGUGGGUGGAGCGGUGAAAUGCGUUGAUAUCCACAGGAACUCCGGUGGCGAAGGCGGCACGCUGGACCCUCUCUGACGCUGAGUGCGCGAAAGCCAGGGGAGCGAACGGG
rnacentral:rRNA from 1 species